rnacentral:lncRNA from 1 species
GCCUUCCUACAUUAAUGGAACCUGGAUGGCCAAAUUCUGGGUGUUAGCAGGGCCCAAACACUGUUUGACUAAGGUGGAGUCCCAGCACCUGCUGUGCAAUAUAAGGAAGAGCCUGAGGGGUGGAAGUCAGCAGUUGCUGGCACUGCAUUUGCCUCACAGUUGCUCCAGAGAGACUGUGCUGUCCGCCGUCCCCUCUGCCACCCUCCAUCCUGCAGACUCUUGGUGCCGAACCUGCAGGAGCAGCUCAGUCCCGGCUCAGCCUCUUGCAAGGACACUGCUGA